AAUCGAACCCGGAGAUAGCUGGUUCUCCUCGAAAUAGCUUUAGGGCUAGCCUCAUUUUAGUCUUAUGGAGGUAGAGCACUGAAUUUCCGCGGGGGCGUCAAAGCUUACCAAAGAAUAUCAAACUCCGAAUGCCAUGUAGAUGAUGAAUGGGAGUCAGACUGCACGAGAUAAGUUGGGUGGUCAAAAGGGAAAGAGCCCAGACCUACAGCUAAGGUCCCAAAGUGCGUGUUAAGUGGAAAAGGAUGUGGGAUUUCAAAGACAACCAGGAUGUUGGCUCAGAAGCAGCCAUACAUUCAAAGAGUGCGUAACAGCUCACUGGUCGAGAGGUCCUGCGCCGAAAAUGUCCGGGGCUGAAACACGACACCGAAGCUUAGGAAUCACAUAGUGAUUGGUAGAGGAGCAUUCUUAAAACCGACGAAGCUGUACCGGAAGGAGCAGUGGAGGGAUAAGAAGAGAGAAUGCCGGAAUGAGUAGCGAGAGGAAGGUGGGAAUCCUUCCGGCCGAAUAUCUAAGGUUUCCAGAGUAAAGCUGAUCUGCUCUGGGUAAGUCGGGGCCUAAGGAGAGGUCGAAAGACGUAUCCGAUGGACAACAGGUUUAGAUUCCUGUACCACAUAUAAACAGAACUGUGGGGACGCAUGUGGAAAGCAUAAGCCGGGAAUGGAAAUACCGGUACAAACGGAAGAGGUGUCAGGCUGGCAAAUCCGCCUGGCAAGCCAAAGACGUGAUGUGGAGCGAAAUAAAAGUAGCGAAGUAUGUGAGCCAUGUGCCGAGAAAAGCCGCUAUUGUUUUAUAUGUGCCCGUACCGUAAACCGACACAGGUGGAUGAGGAGAGAAUCCUAAGGCCGACGGAAGAAGCAUUGUUAAGGAACUCGGCAAAAUGACCCCGUAACUUCGGGAGAAGGGGUGCCCACUUCAGGGUGGGCCGCAGAGAAUAGGCUCAAGCAACUGUUUAGCAAAAACACAGGUCUAUGCGAAACCGUAAGGUGAAGUAUAUGGGCUGACGCCUGCCCGGUGCUGGAAGGUUAAGAGGAGAGGUUAGCGCAAGCGAAGCUUUGAAUUUAAGCCCCAGUAAACGGCGGCCGUAACUAUAACGGUCCUAAGGUAGCGAAAUUCCUUGUC
rnacentral:rRNA from 1 species